rnacentral:lncRNA from 1 species
AGAUCACCCCUCUUGGAGCCCUUCUGUGAGUCCAGGACACGGGUAAGGUCUACUGCAGCAGUACUUGGAAGUCAGAAUUCCCCAAGGACGCCAGAAAUCUCCAAGGCAGAUCGAUACACACUGAGUGGUGGCGAUCCCCAAAGCAAACGUACAGAUGGGUAUACAGCACGGAGCAGUCAGCAGGUGACUGUAAAUGAAGUGCAACACAUGAAUGUAUUCCUCCUGAGAAAUGCAAUGAACUAUUUUUCCAUCGAUUGCAGUAAGAUUUCAUCAUACAGUGAAAUCAUUCUUCUGAUUCUUUCCAGGCUCCAUUUAGCAGGUCACUGGGUCCAGCCCUGUCCACAAGCAUGACUGCAGGGAGCAGUGACAACAGAGUUCAGCGGCUUCACAGUACGAGCACAGGCUGGCCUUCCUACCAGGCAACAUCAGAGAG